rnacentral:rRNA from 1 species
GACGAACGCUGGCGGCGUGCUUAACACAUGCAAGUCGAGCGGUAAGGCCCUUUCGGGGGUACGACGAGCGGCGAACGGGUGAGUAACACGUGGGUGACCUCGCCCUCAGCUCUGGGAGUAAGCCGUCGGGAAACCGGGUCUAAUACCGGAUAUGACUCCAUGACGCAUGUUGUGGGGUGGAAAGCCUUGUGCGGCUGAGGAUGGGCCCGCGGCCUAUCAGCUU